GUAAGUAUACGCUAGGAUAAACUGCGUAUCUGAGACCUGGUAAUGAACUGCUGGACUAAGGAGAGACUACAAACAUGACGAGGAGAAAGAUGAAAGCUUGGACGGGUUCCAGCAAAUAUUUGAAAAACAUUCCUGAGAAUGUUUUAAUAUCUAAUUUCAAGGAUUUUGCAGAAUACGUUCACUGUUUGUCAGACGAGAAAAUAAGGCUCAUUGCCUGGCCUGUUUACUAUAAGGAUGUUACGCAUUGGUGAAUCAAUAUCAAAGGACUCAUCUCUACGCAUCUAUUUACGCUUCUGCACAUUAUCUUGCUGUUGUCAUCAUCAUUACAUAGAAUUGUUAACCAUUAACUUUAAGACCUCUGAAUAAUGUCGUCUUCAACUUAAAACCUCCUAUCGGAGACAAAACCAUACCAAAUAAUUUCAGCCCGCAAUUACUUUGUACUCCGCCUCAUGGAGCCAAAACAUUUUUCGUUUAUUGUGAAAUCAUUAAAGUUAAGCAAGAAUAGUUUCAUAUAAAGCAUCAGUGAAUUUCAUUAAAUAUUAAAAAUGUAACUUUUUCAGAAGUUUAAAAAAAAGCAUUUCAAUACCGAUCAACAAUAAGUUCCCCUACCAUCCCCUAUUAAAUCGUAAGAUUUAUUUUAUUAUUAACAUUUAUUAUAACAUUGUACAUGUAACCAUGAUCUAUAAUUUAUGUUAUUUAAUAAAUAAAGCCUUUGUUAUCGAUUUUCUUGAGACGGGACAAUUCUGUUAUGUGUAUUGCUACGACCGACUGGGAUAUAAGAGUCUGGGGAAAUAAAUAUCCCCCACCAGAAUCUCAACGGGUCUUUUAUUCAAAUUUGUCUGGUGUGUUGCUGUUAUCUGUCAACAAGAAUAUGUACAUUGUACAGCUGGUCUCCCACAAAGAAUAUACUUUAAUUAUGACCUGGAACCAUUAAAAUAUGAGAUCUUAAGGUAAAUUGUAACCUUUGGAUUUGAUAUUGUCUUUUAAGGUGCAGGGGCGAAUACAGGA